rnacentral:rRNA from 1 species
GUAGGUGGCAAGCGUUGUCCGGAAUUAUUGGGCGUAAAGCGCGCGCAGGCGGUUCUUUAAGUCUGAUGUGAAAGCCCACGGGCUCAACCGUGGAGGGUCAUUGGAAACUGGAGAACUUGAGUACGGAAGAGGAAAGCGGAAUUCCACGUGUAGCGGUGAAAUGCGUAGAGAUGUGGAGGAACACCAGUGGCGAAGGCGGCUUUCUGGUCUGUAACUGACGCUGAGGCGCGAAAGCGUGGGGAGCGAACAGGAUUAGAUACCCUGGUAGUCCACGCCGUAAACGAUGAGUGCUAAGUGUUAGGGGGUUUCCGCCCCUUAGUGCUGCAGCUAACGCAUUAAGCACUCCGCCUGGGGAGUACGGCCGCAAAGGCUG